rnacentral:rRNA from 1 species
GAUGAACGCUGGCGGCGUGCCUAAUACAUGCAAGUCGAGCGACAAGACGAGGAGCUUGCUCCCCUGCCGUUAGCGGCGGACGGGUGAGUAACACGUGGAAACCUUCCCUAUAGGACUGGAUUACUUUCGGAAACCCGGGCCAAUACCCGGUUAUUUUUUUGAACCGCAUGGUUUAUUAGUUAAAGACGGUUUUGCUGUCACUUUUGGAUGGUUCCGCGCCGCUUUAGCUAGUUGGUAAGGUAACGGCUUACCAAGGCAAGGAUGCGUAGCCGACCUGAGAGGGUGAACGGCCACACGGGAACUGAGACACGGUCCAGACUCCUACGGGAGGCAGCAGUAGAGAAUCUUCCGCAAUGGGCGAGAGCCUGACGGAGCAACGCCGCGUGAGUGAUGAAGGUCUUCGGAUCGUAAAACGCUGUUAUUAGGGAAGAACAAAUGUGUAAGUAACUAUGCACGUCUUGACGGUACCUAAUCAGAAAGCCACGGCUAACUACGUG